rnacentral:rRNA from 1 species
GACGAACGCUGGCGGCGUGCUUAACACAUGCAAGUCGAACGGAAAGGCCCUGCUUUUGUGGGGUGCUCGAGUGGCGAACGGGUGAGUAACACGUGGGUAACCUGCCCUUGACUUUGGGAUAACUUCAGGAAACUGGGGCUAAUACCGGAUAGGAGCUCCUGCUGCAUGGUGGGGGUUGGAAAGUUUCGGCGGUUGGGGAUGGACUCGCGGCUUAUCAGCUUGUUGGUGGGGUAGUGGCUUACCAGGGCUUUGACGGGUAGCCGGCCUGAGAGGGUGACCGGCCACAUUGGGACUGAGAUACGGCCCAGACUCCUACGGGAGGCAGCAGUGGGGAAUAUUGCACAAUGGGCGGAAGCCUGAUGCAGCAACGCCGCGUGCGGGAUGACGGCCUUCGGGUUGUAAACCGCUUUCGCCUGUGACGAAGCGUGAGUGACGGUAAUGGGUAAAGAAGCACCGGCUAACUACGUG